ensembl:lncRNA
AGUAAUGUCUCUGCUUUUGAAUAUGCUAUCUAGGUUGGUCAUAACUUUUCUUCCAAGGAGUAAGUGUCUUUUAAUUUCACGGCUGCAGUCACCAUCUGCAGUGAUUUUGGAGCCCCCAAAAUAAAGUCUGACACUAUUUCUACUGUUUCCCCAUCUAAUUCCCAUGAAGUGAUGGGACCGGAUGCCAUGAUCUUCGUUUUCUGAAUGUUGAGCUUUAAGCCAACUUUUUCACUGUCCUCUUUCACUUUCAUCAAGAGGCUUUUUAGUUCCUCUUCACUUUCUGCCAUAAGGGUGGUGUCAUCUGCAUAUCUGAGGUUAUUGAUAUUUCUCCCGGCAAUUGAUUCCAACUUGUGUUUCUUCCAGUCCAGCGUUUCUCAUGAUGUACUCUGCAUAUAAGUUAAAUAAGCAGGGUGACAAUAUACAGCCUUGACGUACUCCUUUUCCUAUUUGGAACCAGUCUGUUGUUCCAUGUCCAGUUCUGUUGCUUCCUGACCUGCAUACAGAUUUCUCAAGAGGCAGGUCAGGUGGUCUGGUAUUCCCAUCUCUCAGAAUUUUCCAGUUUAUUGUGAUCCACACAGUCGAAGGCUUUGGCAUAGUCAGUAAAGCAGAAAUAGAUGUUUUUCUGGAACUCUCUUGCUUUUUUGAUGAUCCAGUGGAUGUUGGCAAUUUGAUCUCUGGUUCCUCUGCCUUUUCUAAAACCAGCUUGAACAUCAGGAAGUUCACGGUUCACAUAUUGCUGAAGACUGGCUUGGAGAAUUUUGAGCAUUACUUUACUAGCAUGUGAGAUGAGUGCAAUUGUGCGGUAGUUUGAGCAUUCUUUGGCAUUGCCUUUCUUUGGGAUUGGACCUUCCAGUGAGGCAGACUCUAUAAAUGAUCUUUUUCUUCCCACCUAAAAUAAUUCACAUUCCUCCAUUUUCCUAAAUCUGCCACUGAUUAUUUUCCUCCUGGAGGUCAGCUGACCUCCUGAUCACUCAUCACCAGCACUCCCUCUCCCUCCUCCCAUUAGCCUAGCUCAUUCUUGGAUCUUCUUGAAUUUGAAAAGAGUAAGGAAGUCACAGUGCUAAAUGGCAAGCCCUGCUGAGGAUGUGGGGAACAAACUAAGAUAGUGCUGGUGAGCAUAUACUGUUACAACCAACUGAAAAUCAAUUUGGGAUUACCUAGUAAAGCCACUCCAGUGUUCUUGCCUGGAGAAUCCCAGGGACGGGGAGCCUGGUGGGCUGCCGUCUAUGGGGUUGCACAGAGUCGGACACGACUGAAGCGACUUAGCAGCAGCAGCAGUAAAGCCACAGAUGCUUAGAACUGCUUCCUAAUAAUAUUGACUGCUAUCAUACACUGAAUGCUUCCUUUGUGUAAGACUCUGUUCUCACAGCUUUAUUUUCUUGAAGGAGGUGUUAUCAUUAUUCUAAUUUUACUGAAGAGGAAACCGGGCAUGGAGAAAUUAAAUAACACACCCAGGACCACACUGUUGUGACUUUGUGGUAGAACACAGAUUUGGAAUGGGCAACUGGGUUUCAGAGUCUAAGGUAUUGUGUACCCAAUUCUGCCUGGAGAGGUUCAUGCCCUAGAAACCGUGUUUAUAAAUGUUCACAAAUGUUCACUGCAGUACUGCUUAGAACAGCAAAAAGGCAUUGUUAGGUAGUUAGAAUACGGAAAAGGAGCCCAGAAUGGUGGUGGCUAAAAGAUAAGGAAGAGAAAAGCCUGCAAAAAUAGAACAAAGGAAGGUCCGAGGACCAGAGUGAAGACCUCAGGUAGAACAACAACACUCUUGGCUGGCCCAAUUCACAUAGGACAGGCCCAGGGGGAAAAACGAAACAUAUAAAAAGAGGAGCCAAAGGGCUGGGGGUCGCUCUCUCUCUCCCAUGCACUGGGGUGCUCUUCCCUUUGCGUCUUUGGGUUGACAUGCCCUCAUGCCUCAAGGAUGGAUUUUCCUGCUAUUAUCUAAAUAAAAUAGAGCUAUAACACUGAGCUGUAACACUGAUUUGUCCAAGAGCUAUAACAUGGUCCGUUCGAGACCUGAGAGCUAUAACACAGCCUGUCCAAGACCCGAGAGCUAUGACUUGCCGAGGGCUGUAAUGUCCAUCACUUCAAAUCUUUGUUGUGAUGAGACAGAACCGAAGAGAAUAUACUCGCCUGACAGCAUGAAUGGUCGAACUGCCCCUCUAAAGGUGAAUGGGUGGCUAUACCCACGGAUGACUAUUUCAGGAGCAAAAAUGAAUAAACUAAAUCCACACAUAUCAACACAGAUGAAUCUCAAAAAUAGAAUAUGGUAAGAAAAAGCAAGGUACAGCAAGAUAUAUACGAUUACACCAGGGAUGAUAUAAAUUUUUAAAAUACUUGAGGGGUAAACUAGGAGUUUGGGGUUAAAAUAUACACACUAUUAUACAUAAAACAUAACCAGCAAGGACCUAUUGUAUAGCACAGGGAACUAUACUCAGUGAUAACAUAGCAAGGGAAAGAAUUUUUAAAGGUUAUAUAUAUAAAAAACUGAAUCACUUUGCUGUUUACCUGAAGCUAACAAAACAUAGCAAAUCAAUUAUAUUUUAAUAAAAAUUUUAAAAAGAAGUAAAGCACUUGCAACAUCAUACAUGGUGUGGUUUAGUUGCUAAGCUGUAUCGGACUCUUUGCAACCUCAUGGACUGUACCCUGCCAGGCUCCUCUGUCCAUGGGAUUUCCCAGGCAAGAAAUCUGCAGUGGGUUGCCAUUUCCUUCUCCAGGAGAUCUUCCCGACCCAGGGAUCGAACCAGCAUCUCCUGUUUGAUAGGCAGAUUCUUCACCACUGAGCCACCUGGGAAGCUUGAAAAUUUCAAUAAAGAAGUAAAACACUUGUAACAUAAUACAAAGCAUACAGAUAAUUACAUGCGUAGUAGAUAAAAACCUUAGAUGUGAAUGAGCUAGACCAGCUGAGAGAAGCCUUGAGGGUUGGAGGGAGAAAGUAGGAAUGGUGAUUUCCUCUGUGUCUGUAGCAUUUAAAAACAAAAGGAAGGGUUGAUGAGAACAUGGAAAAACAUUAACAUUUUUAAAAUCUAGGUACUGGGUACAUAGGUAUCAUAUUAUCUUUUGGUUCGUUUCUAUAUGUUGGAAAUAUUUUAUACACACAAUUUGAAAACAUUUUAAAAAGAAAUGAGAAGUCAGCCAAAACUUUAUGAAAGGGACCAUCAUUUUUAUUCCUCUUCAAGUCAAAAAAAAGUAAUUCUUGAGUAUAGUGUAAGUUCUCAGUAUUGGAAGGGGAUACAAACAGAAGGAAAAGGCAAUUUCUAGGGGCCUUGAGAUUCUCUUGGACUUCAAGGAGAUCAAAUCAGUCAAUCCGAAAGGAAAUCAGUCCUGAAUAUUCAUUGGAAGGACUGAUGCUGAAGCUGAAGCUCCAAUACUUUGGUCACCUGAUGUGAAGAACUGACUCAUUGGAAAAGACCCUGAUGCUGGGAAAGAUUGAAGGUGGGAGGAGAAAGGGGUGACAGAGGAUGAGAUGGUUGGAUGGCAUCUCCGACUCGAUGGACAUGAACUUGGGCAAACUCCGGGAGAGAGUGAGGGACAGGGAAGCCUGGCAUGCUGCAGCCCACGGGGUCGCAAAGAGUUGGUCAUGCCUCUGACUGAACAACACAAAUACACAGAGGCAAGCAGUUGUGAAGCACAACCUUCUUGUACUAGAGAAACUGCACUGAGGGGUUUCAGCAGCCUGGCCAUGGCUGAUGCUGCAGAAGAUGCACUGGGCUUGUCUUUGGAUGCUGGGUAGCCUUCUGAGUAUGACCCCUAGUGUGAUAGCUGAGGCUCUCUGCUCUUAGAAAGUGAGCAGGGUAGGAAACACCUUGGCUACCCAUCCACUGAUAGCCCGUUCCUGAUGCAGAGCACCCAAAACCAUAAUUUUAUUAUUUUGUAGCCAGGCUUCAUCUCCUGUCCAUAGGGUUGGUAUAGUUAGAACAAAGAGGUAGCAACUAAGGUAUCUAUUAAACGUGUAAGGCAUUCUGACUGUAUUAUAUUUGUUAUAUAUUGAGUUCAUCUCUUUGUGAACACGAUGUUUGACAAAUAUGUAGAAAGACAAGUUUUCUGCCCUGGGGUGCUUAUGUUCCAGUGUGGACAAACAGACAGAGGGGAUAGGAUCUCUACGUGGGGAAGACUUGGCAGAUAGGGAGAGGGUGCCAAGGGAGAAGAGAAGGCAGGCUGAAAUCUCUGGGAAAGUGGGGGUGGGGUGGGGAGGGGAUAGAGGACUUUUUAAGAAAUCUUUUAAAAGUAAACAUGAGGUUUAGCCAGUAAAAUACUUUUGAAAGAAAACUUUUUUUUUUUUUUGAGAGCAGAGGAAAAGGUUAAGAAAAAUGAAUCUCAUUGUGAUAAUAAUUAUAUAUGUAGUGAAGCAGCAUUAAUAGUUUAGCAGUGGCGGGUUCUUUACCACGAGGGCCACCUGGGAAGCCUCCAGUCCCAUCACUUUAUGGCAAAAAGAUGGGGAAAAAUUAGGAACAGUGACAGAUUUUAUUUUCUUGGGCUCCAAAAUCACUGUGGACUGUGACUGUAGCCACAAAAUUAAAAGACGCUUGCUCCUUAGAAGAAAAGCUGUGACAAACCUAGAGAGCGUAGUAAAAAGCAGAGACAUCACUUUGCCGACAAAAGGUCUGUACUGUCAAAGCUGUGGUUUUUCCAGUAGUCAUGUAUGGAUGUGAGAGUUAGACCAUAAAGAUGGCUGAGCGCCAAAGAAAUGAUGCUUUCAGAUUGUGGUGCUGGAGAAGAUUCUUGAGAGUCCCUUGGACAGCAAGAAGAUCAAACCAGUCAAUCCUAAAAGAAAU